GACGAAGGGGGCUAGCGUUGUUCGGAAUUACUGAACAUAAAGGGCGCAUAGGCGGUCUUAUCAGUCAGGCAUGAAAGCCCUGGGCUCAACCUGGAAGGUGCGCUUGAUACUGCAAGGCUUGAGUGCAAGAGAGGAUAGUAGAAUUCCCAGUAUAAAGAUAAAAUUCGUAGAUAUUAGAAAGAACACCGGUGGCGAAAGCGGCCAUCUGGACUGCAACUGACGCUGAAACGCGAAAGCGUGGGAAGCAAACAGG
rnacentral:rRNA from 1 species